rnacentral:rRNA from 1 species
UACGGAGGGUGCUAGCGUUGUUCGGAAUCACUGGGCGUAAAGCGCGUGUAGGCGGUCUGCUAAGUCUGAUGUGAAAGCCCGGGGCUCACCCCCGGAAGUGCAUUGGAAACUGGCAGACUGGAGUCCCGGAGAGGAGGGUGGAAUUCCUGGUGUAGCGGUGAAAUGCGUAGAUAUCUGCAGGAACACCCGUGGCGAAAGCGGCGCGCUGGACCACUACUGACGCUGAGGAACGAAAGCUAGGGGAGCAAACAGG